GAUGAACGCUGGCGGCGUGCCUAAUACAUGCAAGUCGAGCGAACAGACGAGGAGCUUGCUCCUCUGACGUUAGCGGCGGACGGGUGAGUAACACGUGGAUAACCUACCUAUAAGACUGGGAUAACUUCGGGAAACCGGAGCUAAUACCGGAUAAUAUAUUGAACCGCAUGGUUCAAUAGUGAAAGACGGUUUUGCUGUCACUUAUAGAUGGAUCCGCGCUGCAUUAGCUAGUUGGUAAGGUAACGGCUUACCAAGGCAACGAUGCGUAGCCGACCUGAGAGGGUGAUCGGCCACACUGGAACUGAGACACGGUCCAGACUCCUACGAGAGGCAGCAGUAGGGAAUCGGCCGCAAUGGGCGAAAGCCUGACGGAGCAACGCCGCGUGAGUGAUGAAGGUCUUCGGAUCGUAAAACUCUGUUAUUAGGUAAGAACAAAUGUGGAAGUAACUGUGCACGGCUUGACGGUACCGAAUCAGAAAGCCACGGCUAACUACGUG
rnacentral:rRNA from 1 species